AGAAGCAACGGAAUCAGAACAAUAUUGUUCAGUUGCUAUUGAAUGAGAAAAUUGUAUUACCAUCUCUGAACUGAAAGUGUCGCACCAUACAACGUUUUUUCCAUUAUAGCUGCUUAUAGUUCAGCAAUCUUAACAGAUGAUUUAUCAGAAUAGCCCUGAAGUUACAUUCAGGUGUGGUGAGUUCCCUUCUCUCUUCUAGGUCAUCAAUUUCCAGCAGAGCCCAAUUGGUGUUUUCAAUAAGCAACUAUAAAUGGGAAAUACCUCUACUCCAAUGUUUGAGAGCAUAUCUCAAUCUCUCUAGUUUUUUAUGAGCAACGCAGCUAAUUUUUUGCAAAGCAAGGUUUGGACCAGGAGGAAUGCCCCACUUCAUGAAAGCCAUGAUGAUCCACCCAGAAGUUUCCGAACCUAAAAACUUUGCUUUUUGGCACUGCAGAUUCAAUAGGCACUACAAAAGGUACGUGAUCUGACACUGGUUUGCACUAUGGCGACACUAUUGUAUUAGGAUAAUUAGAGGUCCAAUUAACAGAGGUAAAAUACCAGUCCAGUUGCUCAAGAGGGGGCAAGUUCUGCAUGUCCAUGUAAACGAUCUACCGUUGAUAGGCAAUUCCAUAAGGGAUUGGGUGGGGAUGAAAUCAUGAAAUAAAAGCAUAUCAUUGGCAUUACCUCCAGGUUUAUUACAAUUUUCAGGGCUAAGGAUGAAAUUAAAAUCACCUAGGAGCAGUCAGUCCUCAUUAUCUGAGAUAUCAAGAUCAAAAAGCCUGAGGUAAAAAGCUCCCUAUCCGAGCCACCACAAGGGCCAAAGAUAUUCACCAGUUUCCAAGAAGUGUUUGAUUGUGUAGAGGUAAAAUGCACACCUAGCGCAAAGGAUUCAGUAAACACACUAACCCCAUCGAAAACAACACUAUUCCAAAUAGUAAUUAACCCUCCAGAAGCCCAGCGGAGGAGAUAAACUGGUCAAAUCUCUUAGGACAUGACUACUUAAUAAACGAUCGAUCAAAAGACUAGCGCUUGGUUUCUUGCAAACAAACGAUAGCACAACCGCUUGUAUCAAUAGCAUUUCAGGUAGCUAGUUGCUUGUCCUCAGAAUUUAUUCCCCAAACGUUCCAGCAAAGGACGUUCCAGAUCUUGAAUCUUGGCAUGGAACUACUUGGGGGAGGACGAAGAUGAGCCAUCCUGAAGACUGGCUAGCAGCUUCUUCACGGAGAGCUCCUCGAGAGGGACAUCACACAUCCUGGUGCCAACAUUCUGCAUAGUGACAAUGGUGGUAGGAGGGAUCCAAUCACGAACGGCAGACUGAACACCAGUUGAGCCAAGUAGGGCAGUCUUGGCCUUGGCAGGUGGCCUAGCAGCCGACACGUUCCUGUCCUUGACCUUGGAAGCAGUUACUUCCAUAUGAGUCAGCUGGUUGACCUUGAAACCAUCAUAUCUGGUCGAACUAGAGCUGUGCCUAAGGUAAGUCGUGUCAACAUGGAGCUGCUCAUUGUGUUCCGCAUUCUGCAGUGCAGUCCAAAGAGAAGCAACCACGACAGGCUCAGAGGUCUGAACACCAACAGCACGCUCAACCACAUGUUCAGAGACAGGCGCGGGAGAGUUUAGGUUUGAUAGUUGGACCAAAACUUCUUCCCUUCGCUUACUUGGGCUAUCAAGAGGCCUAACAAGACCAGUCCCCUUUGUAGAAGUCCCCUUGAUCUAAAGUCCAUUAAAACCGACCACUGGCGUUGAGAGGCCCAGGACAGUCCAAAUUGUAAGUGUUGCCUCCAUGAGCCGGCAAGAACUCCAAGUAAUGAGUAGCAGACCGCCAAACAUCAAAAUCCAGCACAAAUCCAUCAACCAAGCGAGUGUCAAAGCAGAAAUCAAAGCUCUGGUUCUCAGGACGAAUAUUGUUAAUAAUAGCCAAGCAAACACUAUCAACCUGUGUUCUGAUAAGGGCAAAUGGGUUGAGAGGGAAACAUGCUCCUUCAGAACAGGUGCAGCUGUGAUAUGAGGUGUAGAUUAAUUUUAUCAUACAGCCAAUCCAACCCAACACAGGUGCAUCAAACGGAAUCAUGAGUGUUGAGGAUGCACCUCCAGCCCUGACAAAAAAUAACUGAGCAUUGUACACACCAUUAAUAAAAUUGUCAGUUGCAGCUUCCACCUCAGCAUAUUCAGACCAGACAUCAGAAAGAUUGUCCUGAAUGUUGUGCUCUUGAGGCACUCCAUCCAUAGGAGACUGCCCAUAAUAUCCAAAGUACCUUCUAAAGCUAAACCAGUAUACUACGGGGGAUUACUGGCAAAAAAACAGCCAUUGUCCUGCACACCCUCAUGAUCCUGUGGAACAGCAUUCCAGGCUGCCUCUGCCUGAAUCAUUUGUGCCUUCGUUGCAUCAAUCCUAGCCUACUGCAUGGGCAUGCAAUAUGGCAAUUUAUACGGAUGAGGUGAUGCGUUUAGCAGUGGGGGAACAUCUUCAUUGUCAACCACGUCCGGUAUGAUGUUCUUGCCAUUAAGGACAUACACAGGAACAGGCCAAGAUCUCCCCAAUUCAGGAAGCAAACCCCACACAAGUGACCAGCAGACUGUGGGGGCAUAGACUUAUUAUGCCUAGGGCGAAACCAAAGUUUCCCAAAAUUUAACACUGCUUUGUGAACGUAGUGAUCCAUCUGAUAGUCAAACGGGAAUGCCAGAAACAUAAUCCAAGCCUCAUACUCAAAAGCAGGUGUUCUCAUUCCAGUCCUUGAUCAUGCGGGAGUAAAGAAAACAAUGAAUCUUCAGUGAAUGGGUGGAGCCCCUCUCUGAUCAGAUUAUAACGGGUAUUGACAUCCUGAAGUGCAAUACAACCGAUUCCAAACGGAUAAACAAAAUCAUCAAGAACUGCAAACCCAAAACCAUCCCUAAUAAUGCAGCACACCUCAGCAAGCCUAAAACCCAAAAACCCUUCUGAUGGAGGUGUAGAAGUGCAUGCUCUAGCCAAUGCAACCAAAAGACAAAUCUGAUGGAAGAGACAAGGCAAUACAUUUAUACUAAAAAGCACGGACACGGCAGGAAUUGCCGAUUGGCCGUGUCUACACGGCGGGAUACGGCGACACGGCGGGAUACGGCUGGAUACGCGUAUCCCCCAGUAUCCCCUGAUUUUUGAUUAAAAAAAAGAAAAAAGCCCAGGGACACGGCGGGACACGUACGUGACACGGACGGGAUACGGCCCGGCCCAAAAACAGCCAUGGCCCAAAACGAAACCCUAUUUUUGCAGGAAUAGCACGCAGCUCUCCACACAUGCAACAACGAGGGACUCCCAGUCCCAGGUCCCAGUCUCUUCUGGAUCGAAGCCGCCACCUCCUGGAACGAAGCCGCCGCCGCCGCCGUCGGCGAUGCUUGGAUCCGACCGGCCACCACUACCCCCACACCAGGAGGCAGCAGCCUCUUCUCCUGAUGGCAGGUAACCCUCCCCAAUCCCUGAACUAACAGCCUCUCCUCCACUUCUUGACCUGUUUUAUUCAGAUUUGAUCUUCCAUUAAGCUGCUGGAUGUUGUGCUUGCUGCUUGCUAGCUGCUGCUCUUUGAAUGCCUGUAGAUUGUAGUAGUAGUGUACUACACUACUAGUGUAGUACUGCUUGUCUGCUUCAGUGCUUCUUUUUGCUAGCUUAAUAUCAUCCUGCUCUUGAAUGCUUGUAGAGCAUGGCACCUGGGAGUGGCACAGCCGGUAGCCAAUCGUCCGUGGGUGAGAGUGAAGGGCAGUCUGGUCCUGGUGUUUUGCAAGAUGCAACUUGCAAUGACAUGGUGGGACAAGGAUCAAUCAAGCACUUGAUAAAAGAGACACCGAAUGGGGCAGUAUCUCUAUUCUAAUCUUUUUCUCCUUUAUUUUCUGUAUUAACUCUAUAUUACAUGACAUAUUUUUAUUUUAUUUUAUAUAUGCUCACCGUAUCCCCGAAUGGCUGUUUUUGGAAAAUGCCGUAUCCCGUAUCCCCGUAUGCGUAUCCCCGACUUUCCGUUCCCAUGUCCGUGCUUUUUAGUGAGAUCACCAUGAUGUGUCUCCAUGAUGGGAUGGUCGUUGACCACCAUGAUGUGCCUCCAGACGCGAUGAUCAGGCCUUCUCUCAUAAGUGAGAGCCCACCAGAGCAAACUCGAAGGGGCGCACCGAGAAGUUCGCCAUUGGAGCAGAUAAAGCAGCAAGUAGGUGUCUCUUCGCACGCGGGUGGAUGAUGUGUUGAUGUUGUGGCGGCGGUGGCGUCGACGGUGAUGGUGGUUUCUAGGCGCAAGAAGCAGAGCUUGGGGGUUGUGGAAUUAGCUGCGUCAGAGCGGCAAGGGACAAUGGGAAGGUGCCACGUCGGUGCAACUCGGGAUUCUCUAUUUCACAACCCAAACUUUCCUCUGUGGAUAACCCCUUUUACAAUUUAUUAAAUUCAUAACAGAAUGGAUAUUUUUGGCGUCACAAUCCCUCUUGACCCUGUGCCUAUGUGAACCAACCUUAUGAUAUUUGCAUGACCAUAUGAGUCAAGGUUGCAGUAAUUCAACAUGAAGCAAGGAAUCAUGUAACGUUUCAACUCCAAGGCGUAAGCAAGCAAGGAACAUCGUUCUUCUCAACAUUAUUGACCUGGGCACCACGAUCGGUGCCAAACAGCCUCAAAAUUUGAGAUCACACACACACACACACACACACACACACACACACACACA